GACGAACGCUGGCGGCGUGCUUAACACAUGCAAGUCGAACGGAAAGGCCCUGCUUGCAGGGUACUCGAGUGGCGAACGGGUGAGUAACACUUGGGUGAUCUGCCCUUCACUUCGGGAUAAGCUUGGGAAACUGGGUCUAAUACCGGAUAGGAGCCAUCUUUAGUGUGGUGGUUGGAAAGUUUUUUCGGUGUAGGAUGAGCUCGCGGCCUAUCAGCUUGUUGGUGGGGUAAUGGCCUACCAAGGCGGCGACGGGUAGCCGGCCUGAGAGGGUGUACGGCCACAUUGGGACUGAGAUACGGCCCAGACUCCUACGGGAGGCAGCAGUGGGGAAUAUUGCACAAUGGGCGCAAGCCUGAUGCAGCGACGCCGCGUGGGGGAUGAAGGCCUUCGGGUUGUAAACUCCUUUCGCUAGGGACGAAGCUUUGUUGUGACGGUACCUAGAGAAGAAGCACCGGCUAACUACGUG
rnacentral:rRNA from 1 species